rnacentral:tRNA from 1 species
CGCUGAGAAGCUAAAACCGGGGACUAGCGUUAGCCUUUUAAGCUAAAGACUGGUGGCUCCCACCCACCCUUAGCGA